rnacentral:rRNA from 1 species
GUCCACGCCCUAAACGAUGCUGACUAGUUGUUCGGGAUUUUCAUCCUGAGUAACGUAGCUAACGCGUGAAGUCAGCCGCCUGGGGAGUACGGUUGCAAGAUUAAAACUCAAAGGAAUUGACGGGGACCCCGCACAAGCGGUGGAUGAUGUGGAUUAAUUCGAUGCAACGCGAAAACCUUACCUACCCUUGACAUGUGACUAACGAAGUAGAGAUACAUUAGGUGCUCGCAAGAUAAAGUCAACACAGGUGCUGCAUGGCUGUCGU